rnacentral:lncRNA from 1 species
GUGUUGUGAAACUUCUGAAAAACUUCAAAUACCACCCCUGUAGUUUCGCACUUUCUCACUUUAGUUUAAAGUAUAUUACUUUUAUAUUCUGUGAUUUUUUUAAAAUUUUUUUUUAUUCCCUCCAUUAAUUUUUUUAUUAAAUCAGUGACAAAGUUAAAACUAAAGGAUACUAAAGUAAAUAUUCGAUAAAUUAUAGGUGGGGUAUUUGAAAUUUUUUAUAUAUAAUUUAACGAAAUAUUAACGAAGGAUCUGACGAAAAGAGAAAAAUAAAAUCAUAAGGUACUAAAUUGAUAUACUUUAAACUACAGGAAACUAAAGUGAAAAAGUAUGAAACCACAAGGGUAGUAUUUAAAGUUUACCCUAAAACUUUUAAGCUGCUUUUCUUUUAU